rnacentral:rRNA from 1 species
GACGGGGGAUGCAAGUGUUAUCCGGAAUCACUGGGCGUAAAGCGUCUGCAGGUGGUUUCCUAAGUCCACUGUUAAACCUUGAGGCUCAACCUCAAAUCUGCAUUGGAAACUAGGAGACUUGAGUAUAGUAGGGGUAGAGGGAAUUUCCAGUGGAGCGGUGAAAUGCGUAGAUAUUCGGAAGAACACCAGUGGCGAAGGCGACACACUGGGCCAUUACUGACGCUGAGGCGCGAAAGCGUGGGGAGCAAACAGG